GUUAGGACCUUGCCGUCCCCUCCCCCCGUGGUCGAGCAGGAACGCCGGCAGGCGAUUCCCCGUCAGGCCGUCUCCACUCUCCGAGUGGCCGGUCGACGGGUGGCGCCGUUGGCUCGUCGAUUACCUGCGCGGGGCUGUUUUUUUCCGGCGGCUCGCGGCGAGUAGGUCGGUCACCCACCCGACCCGUCUUGAAACACGGACCAAGGAGUCUAACAUGUGCGCGAGUCACGGGGUCUUGUUUAGGCCCAGAGGCGCAACGAAAGUGAAGGUCGGCCUCGACGCCGUCCGAGUUGGGACUCUCC
rnacentral:rRNA from 1 species